rnacentral:rRNA from 1 species
CCUACGGGCGGCAGCAGUGAGGAAUAUUGGUCAAUGGACGAGAGUCUGAACCAGCCAAGUAGCGUGAAGGAUGACUGCCCUAUGGGUUGUAAACUUCUUUUAUAUGGGAAUAAAAUGUUCCACGUGUGGGAUUUUGUAUGUACCAUAUGAAUAAGGAUCGGCUAACUCCGUGCCAGCAGCCGCGGUAAUACGGAGGAUCCGAGCGUUAUCCGGAUUUAUUGGGUUUAAAGGGAGCGUAGGUGGAUUGUUAAGUCAGUUGUGAAAGUUUGCGGCUCAACCGUAAAGUUGCAGUUGAAACUGGCAGUCUUGAGUACAGUAGAGGUGGGCGGAAUUCGUGGUGUAGCGGUGAAAUGCUUAGAUAUCACGAAGAACUCCGAUUGCGAAGGCAGUUCACUGGACUGCAACUGACACUGAGGCUCGAAAGUGUGGGUAUCAAACAGGAUUAGAUACCCCUGUAGUC